CUCCAGCCUGAAGCCCCUCUGGCCCAGGGAGUGACUGCAAAGUCAGCAGCACAUGGGCCAGGGCUGGCCAGCCUCUCAGCUCCACGCACCCAGACAGAAGCAUCCACAUCUGCACUCUUCAUAGCAGAGACCUCUCCCUGUUCAGGUUCUGCAUACAGAAGAGACGCCCAGAAAUAGAUAUGGAAAAGCUGAUCCUCAAAUUCGUAUGGAAAGGCAAGAGACCCUGAAUGGGCAAAACAAUCUAGAAAAAAAGUUACAAACAUACUUUGAAAACAUUGGGAACUUGGUUCCAGACCACCACAAUAAAUUUCUAAGGAUCAGGAAUUUGGAGUAACCAACUGAAUGGUUCUGGUUCAAAGUCUCUCAAGAGGUUACUAUCAAGCUGCUGGCCCAGG
rnacentral:lncRNA from 1 species